rnacentral:lncRNA from 10 species
GGAACUGACGUAGGACGCGCGCCUCCCAGGUGCCAGAGUUCGUAUAUGACUCCAGUCCUGGCGCUGGAUGCUGCUGCUGUUCCAGCUUCCUAGGUGUGGAAACUGAAGGACCAAGAGAUUAAACAGUGGUGCAAAAGUGGUAAGAAUUCAGCAUUCUCCUCGACAAGUGGACGAGCAUCUACUGUGCUUUCACAGCGGCUAUCACUAUUGCCAGCAGCAAGACUGUCAGCUCGGCGCCCUCGUCUGGUUGGAUGGGAAACUGCAGUUGCUAAGGGAGCUGGGAAUCUCUGAGGACAAAUGGGAAUUCUCACUGAUUUCUAGGACUACCCUGGGGCAGGCACCCUGCACAGCAAUACACACUGAACAAUGUCGAGUUUCUGCUGAAUAGACUUCCUACGUUGCUCUGGAAUUCGAAGUUGGCCUAACUGAGGUCUCCAGUUACAGAAAACACUGGCUCUGUAUCCUGGGCUUUGAGAAAACUUAUCAGGCUGUCACACUUACCAUCCCUUCAGUCUGCUUGUCAGGUUCCUUAAGGACGCAUAUCUCAAAUGUAUGGCAUCUACCUCUACCUGGGUCACAACCAAGUGGGUUUCUACUAGAUCGGUGUUCCUUGACAGCCAACAAGGGAGCUGACACUGCCCUCCUAAGUUCUGAUCUUGCUCCUGUUCAACUGGAACUUGAUGGAUCCCAUGUGGUUUCCCCCAUCCUGACGCUGUGGCUCAGACACUCUCCCUAAGCUGGUCCUUCCCUCCAAAUCCUGCCUUAAACACACUCAGAAGGUAGAAAACACUUCAGCAGCAAAGUCCUCUUCCCAAGCCAACAGUUGUGUUCUUCCAAUCACAUGAUCUUACCUUUUCAAUAAAAGGCAAAACAAACCAAUUUCCAACAUAGCAUUACAGCCUUUAAAACCAUUCACUUCUCAUAGUGAUUCACAGAGAACAAGAGAUUAAAGUGCUGGAUUUUAAAUGUC